rnacentral:rRNA from 1 species
GGGACAAGAAGACCCUGUGAAUCUUUAUCUUCCUAGGAAGAUUUAAUUGGGGCGAUUAAAAAAUAUUUAAAAACUUUUUUUUGAAAGUUAAAUAAAAAAUUAGGAAAAGAUACUCCAGGGGUAACAGCGUUAUUAAUUUGGAGAGUUCUUAUCGAUAAAUUAGUUUGCGACCUCGAUGUUG